UACAGAGGUCUCAAGCGUUGUUCGGAUUCAUUGGGCGUAAAGGGUGCGUAGGCGGCGCGGUAAGUCGGGUGUGAAAUCUCGGGGCUUAACUCCGAAACUGCAUUCGAUACUACCGUGCUUGAGGACUGGAGAGGAGACUGGAAUUCCUGGUGUAGCGGUGAAAUGCGCAGAUAUCAGGAGGAACACCGAUGGCGAAGGCAGGUCUCUGGGCCAUAACUGACGCUGAGAAGCGAAAGCAUGGGGAGCGAACAGG
rnacentral:rRNA from 1 species